rnacentral:rRNA from 1 species
UACGUAGGUGGCGAGCGUUGUCCGGAUUUACUGGGCGUAAAGGGAGCGUAGGCGGACUUUUAAGUGAGAUGUGAAAUACUCGGGCUCAACUUGAGUGCUGCAUUUCAAACUGGAAGUCUAGAGUGCAGGAGAGGAGAAUGGAAUUCCUAGUGUAGCGGUGAAAUGCGUAGAGAUUAGGAAGAACACCAGUGGCGAAGGCGAUUCUCUGGACUGUAACUGACGCUGAGGCACGAAAGCGUGGGGAUCAAACAGG